rnacentral:lncRNA from 1 species
UCCGGCGGCUCCGCGGUACUUCGCGCGGCUCACCUCCGGGGCCGCCCGCGAAUACUUCAGCCAUUAGCAGUGUUCUGUGCCACACAGCAUAAGCAGUGAAUGUGCAAAAUCCCCUUCGCAGGAAAACGUCCUAAAGCCCUCUCCCUUGGGGUCCUGCCUGCGAGAUCUAGCACCACAAAGAAAGAAAAAUUACCAGGACACAAUCGAAGUCUCCAGUAUCGACCCCUUGGCAUGUGGAGCUUGAAGCCUUGUGUGGCUUGUUUAUGGCAUUCUUGGACAAACAGACCCAGUGACUCUUUGGGCAGGAGCUGUAUGGGGAGGAAGAAAUUAAGAAGGGCUAGUCUAUUAGACUGGGAAUGGUGUUUCUCUCUCUGAGGUCUCAGUGUGGGCAUCUGUAAAACCCUGAUGCCUCACUGUGGGAGCAUGGGCAUUUUCUAAGGAGGUCUGGACCUAAACCAUGCACAGUACCUAGGAUUAGAGGUUUCCUUAGUAGUCAAAGGCACAUGACAAGUCAGGCGUGUUGGGCAUAUGGCUAGACUCCCAGCAUUUGGAAAGUAGAAUCAGAGUAUUAGAAGUCCAAUGGCCAGGGGGCUGGAGAGAUGGCUCAGUGACUGACUGAAUGCUCCUCUAGAGUCUUGAGUUCAAUUCCUAGAAACCACAUGGCCACAUGGUGGAUCAUAACCAUCUGUAAUGAGAUCUGAUGCCCUCUUCUGAUGUAUCUGAAGACUGCUACAGUGUACUCACAUACAUA